UACGUAGGGACCAAGCGUUGUUCGGAUUACUGGGCGUAAAGGGCGCGUAGGCGGCGUGUUAAGUCAGCUGUGAAAUCUCCAAGCUUAACUUGGAACGGUCAGCUGAUACUGAUGUGCUAGAGUGCAGAAGGGGCAAUCGGGAAUUCUUGGUGUAGCGGUGAAAUGCGCAGAUAUCAGGAGGAACACCGGUGGCGAAGGCGGUUCUCUGGGCGAUGACCUGACGCUGGAGGAGCGAAAGUGUCGGGGAGCGAACAGG
rnacentral:rRNA from 1 species